GUUCAAGAGUUGGGGGGAAUCUUGGGAACUUGGAGAUGCUUAAAUGAGUUAAAACCCAGCAUUUGAGGCCAAAGCUUCCAAUUAGCUUAAUUAUGUCAGUAUGACUGGCAGGUUCUAACACUUCAAUGCUCCCAAACAUCCAAACUGGUGGUGCUGAGCUUUCUGCCCGCUUGAUGCCAGCAAGUGGAAGAUUUUAGGGUGUGCUUUUUGCAAAAUUUGUUUUAUAAUUAAACCUAACUCCUCAUGAGCCUGCGGUCACUCUGCUGGAGGGAAUCACAGUGUUCACCGCACAGCUCCAAGUGGGAGAGCCUGGGAUUGGUUUGGAUUUCCCUGUGGAGUUCAGGUGAAGAGCAGGAGGAGGAGCCGUUAAUUUUCCAACUCCCAUUUCAGAGAAGUGAGGCACAGAGGAGCUGCUGCUUUCCAGCAAGGAGUGACAUUGGUGUCACGCAAGAAAAGUGCCGCAGAUCAGAAACUGGAGCUGGGAGCCGUGCUGGGAGCAGGCAGAGGAUUUGGGCAGUCAUUGCAGGAAGCAAUUCUCCUGAACUGUGUCAAAUCAGGUAUUUUAUUCCCUUCAACCACGGCAGUGAAUAACAAACUCUUUGUGCCGAGUGAAAUCCAGGGGAUACCUGCUGGGAAGAUGAUGGGAAUUGUUUCGGAGCUGGGAGCGAGGUGGGAGCUUUGAAAUGCACAGUGAUGGGAAGCCCCUGCACCGAGGUACCUGCACUUUGAAUUGAAUUGAAUUGAAUUGAAUCUCUCCAGUCCCCUCCCCAGCAGCCUGUUUGUUGCGGUGCUUUGGAGGAAGAUGCUCUGUGCUUGCAGGUGAAAUAAAGCUUCAGUGUCAGGGCUGGGCUGUUUGGAAAUGCAAAACAGGAGCUGCAUCAAGGGCAAGGGAUUUCAAAGGUGCUGCUUUUAUGCUUCAAAAAGGACUUUGGAGAUGACAGCGGCAACGUGGUGUCACUUGGCAACGGGUCAGAGGCUAAAGCUGGGGCAAAAGAAGGGUUUCAGGGAGGAGAGCACAAUCACCAACAGCACCCAGAUGGUUUGAAGAAUGGCUGUGACACCAGGGUGAGGGGACAGCUCUGGGCUGGUGGCUGCCCCUGCCCUGGAAGUUCAGCCCCUUUUGGGGGUUGCCACAGAUAAAGGAUAAUAUUAGCAUUUCAGCCCCCAGCUCUGCUGUUUCUGUGCGUGUGGUGGAGGGGAGCUCUGAGCCUGCAGGAGAGCACAGCUUUGGAAAAUCCUGAGCCUUGGAAUUCAUAAUUUAACAAGCAGGUGGGUACACUGAAGAUGAAACAACAAAAAAAGGAAUGGUGAAGUUCUCCUCCUGGAAAGUGAUGUGUGAAUGCACACAGCCCCAAGCACAGAACUUUAUUUUGAAUCUUUGAAGCCUGUCCACCUCUGGGAUUUUCUCCCUGUUUCUCUACACGCAGAAUUUCCCAGCAGUGGAAUCCUGUAGGAUCGGGAGUCAGAGCCCUGGGGGAGGAGGUACCAGAGUGGGAUCAAUUCUUCAGUGCCUUAUUUUUCAUUUCCAGAAGAGCUGGAAUUGCAGCUCUUACCUGGAGUGAUUUACAAGACAAGGAGCAGCUGCCCAAAGGGAAGCUCAUUCCUGAUGCAGCUGGAUUUUCCACAUCUCUUGUAGGCCAAUAUCCCAGAGUUUUCCAUCCAUCCCCGAGUCUCUGUAUGUCCAGUCCAGGAAUUUGGGCCUGUAGUAAGAUGCUUUGAGGUUUUAAUUUUGUAGAUUGUGUUUAGGAUGGCUGUGAGCACUGCUUGCAAAAUCCUAAACACAAAACACCUCCCCAAACCUUGCCCAGACCCAGAGGAACCCCGGUUUUCCCUGGAGAAGGACAGAACGGACAGGGAGAGCCAGGAAUAAAUAAAUAAAUUUAGUUCAAUUUUAAAUAAAGUGCUUUUACAGCACACACCUUAAAAAUCCAGCCAUAAAUACCCAGGCCAAACCUUCAGCGAGUUACUUAUUAAUAUUUCUCUCCUCUUUUGUAAACCUCACAUCUCUCUGUCCUUCCAAUAACAUCUCCCUGAGAGCUGCCACGUGCACCAGGCUCGCUGGAGGCUGGGAUUGCUCAUCCCAACCUGCUGGAUGCAAACCACCCCACAGGUUUAUUUUCUCCUCAGACUGAGUUAAUAAAACAGCAAAGAGGAAAGGCGGCCCAGAAGCCACAGGAUCAAUAAGCUAUUAGGAGCCAAGAAAACUCAGCGAACUGCACACAUAAUUAAAGGCUGUGGUGAACAGGUUGCAUCUUUUGUGACUCUAUUAAAUCAGGUCCUCAGUUUUAUGUAAAACCAUCAGCUGAGCUGAAGGUAAAACCAGCUGUGUCUGUAUUUACAGAGGGGGAGAUAAAAAAUGCCAGAAGGGGCUGUAAACAAAACACCUCCAAUUCCCCAUCCAUCAGGGGUCACUGAGCCAGGGGCUGAUGGAGUUGUCACAUAAAAAGAUGACACUUUUAUUCCUAAAUACAUUUCCUGCAGUGCCAGCUUGGGAUCCGGGAUUCCUCCAGUGAGCAAAGCUCUUGUGUUCCUCCUUGGGAGCAAACCCUGUGCUAACGUUUUAUAGAAACACGGAUCCCAGCGUGGUUUGAAUUGGAGGGGACCUUAAAGCUCAUUUCAUUCCAACGUUCUGCUGUGGGUAGGGACAUCUCCCACCAAUCCAGGUUGUUCCAAGCCCUGUCCAGCCUGGGGAUCUCUA